rnacentral:ncRNA from 2 species
AGAUGAGGUAGAGGUCGCAGAUUUUAUUAGUAAACUAAAAAGAGAGCCGGAAAGCUUGCUGACUUUAGUUGAAAGGAAAAUCUGCCGAAGCGUUCUUUUUUUCCGAAGAGAGCAGCUGGGACUGUAUCCGAAUAGGUGCAGGACUGUCAUGGAAUAUAUACAUCGCGAUAUGUAUAUAUUCCAUGGAGAACUAUCCAUUUA